GCUCUCGUGGCACUUGGCAAAACGACUUAUUAAUAUUCUUGCAGCCUCUUGCAGCACCCUGCAAUGAGGCCUAAAAAGGACUAUGAAUCAGUAGGUCGAGAGUUCGAAUCUCUCCGGGCGCACCA
rnacentral:tRNA from 1 species